GACGAACCGUGCGAACGUUCGUUCGGAUUCAUCGUUGGGACGUUAAAGGGCGCGUGAGGUCGGGUCAUCAAGUCCGGGGAUUGAAAUCUUUCGGCUUAACCGGAAAUAGCCUUGGAUACUGGUGUCUGGAGGGAGGUAUGGGGCAGUGGCGGAACUUCCGGUGGAGCGGUGGAAAUGACGUAUGAUAUCGAGAGGAACACCUGCGGCGAAGGCGGGAUAGCUGGGCCGAACACUGAUGCUGAAGCGCGAAAGCCAGGGGAAGCGGAACGGGA
rnacentral:rRNA from 1 species